GCCGGAUUAGCUCAGCGGCAGAGCAGCGGUUUUGUAAACCGAAGGUCGGGGGUUCAAUCCCCUCAUCCGGCACC
rnacentral:tRNA from 3 species